UACUGAAUGGCCUAGUGGGAAAGCAUCUGCCUUAAAUGCAGAAGAUCCUUGGUUCAAUCCCUAGCAUUUCCAGGUAA